CCGAGAGCUGCGGGGAGAUUCUACAGGCGUGUUUGAAUGUUUUCAAUGCUGGAAGAAAAUGUCCUGAGUUGAUGCUGAAGGGCGUGUUGGUGUUUGUGAGUGGGUAUUUGGGUGGGUGACUCUGGAGGCCUGCAUCCUCCUGACGCUGGGAAACAUCCACUGGAAGCUUCAUUUCGUUCACAGGUUUCGGUUAACACAGUGAGGAUAAAGAGUUCAGCAUGGCAACAACGUCAACAUCAACCUUAUUUUUGGCUAAUAGUAGGAAAACCAGAGGUGUAAGACCACUGUAUUGGUUUAUUUGAAACUGUGCAGCCAAGUUGGACGUAUAGGAUUAAAGCAGGGCAUUUUCAUAUGACAGACUUGUUUUAUUUUUCCAGAUUUUUUUUUUUUUACAUAAAUAAACAAAAAAGUAAGGCAAGACACUAAAUCCAAUUAGAAAGGUUUGCAUGUUCAGUGAGACCAGCAGAUCUUCUGACUGCUGUCUGAUGCUCACAGAAGCAGGGCUCUCGUACUAAGUCCCACAUGUGUUUGCAAACAAAAUCAUGAUCCACUCUUGGAAUACACCUCCUCUUGUUCCUACGGCAGGUUCCAACAGGGGAUGCAGUGUCUGUGUCCACUCUAAGUUGAUAACAAGGUUAACAAUGAUGUUUUACUCAAUUGUUGUCAUUUAUUAAUUGCAGAAAGUGUGAAAUUUAACAAAGUGAAUCAGGAGACCCUUCACUGUGACCUUUCACAUGAAACUCAAAUUCCUCUACAAAACAAAUAUGAUUUUCUUCAUUUGCUGAUUGGACAAUACUUGUCUACACAUGCUGUGUACUAGCUACUAUCAAUGAAAAUUAAAUUCAUCCCUCAUUGUGCCUACUUUCACAGUUUAUAUUAUUAGACAAUAUAAUUAGUUUGACAUCUUGUUUUGAAAUGGAAGAAUCAUUCUCUUGCGAUCCCUACCUUCAGUUUGCCAAGGACUUUUAAAGGUAAGAUAUAAAAGUAUAAUAAAGAUGUUUAACUUGCAACUUAGACUGUUUAUAAAUCCUGUUUUUUAAAGGUUGUAUAAAACUAAACAUGUAUGACACUAAUCAAAAUUGUUGACAUGUAUCUUUAGCUAAAUAAAAGCUUUCCAAUAUUUGUUUUGUCACUGGAUUUUGUUCAUCAUGUAUAAGUUGAUUGUUUUUCUUUUCUUAUUAUUUAAAUCAAACUUAACUCUGAUACUUGCCAUGAACCUAACUAUUACCUGUACACCUAGCCUGAUUCUAAACUCAUUUCAAUGCAAACACUAAAAAUGGUGGUCCACCACACUAAGAACGGGCUUUGGUCGCAACAAGAUUACACCAGAAAAGGUCCUAAAGGGGCAACAUAAACAAGCACACACACAUUUAGAAGGAUAAGAAGUUUAAAUGUUGACCUGAGUCCAAAUAGAGGUCUGUAAGUAGGCAAGUAAACAGGAAUUAUGAAACGGUGUCAAGAAGGUGACUUUAUGCACAACACUGCCACCCAGUGGUCGCGUAAAUAGUUCAGCCCCUGCUGAAUUACCCGAACGAUGCAAUCCUGUCUCGAACUAACUGGAAUUAAUGUGUAUUUAUUGCUUACAAACAUCAGUUAUCUUUUUAAUUCAUAAGAACAGUUUCCCUACUUUCCUAAUGAACCUUCCUAUUAAAUUAUCUAAAAUAAAAGAAAGACAGGACACUAAUUAUUCUGUUUUCUAGCCUGUUUUAUUAUGAAGUGUUGCUACAGAGGUGGAAUAAGUCCCCCGGUUGAUGAAUUUAGAAGG